rnacentral:rRNA from 1 species
UACAGAGGGUGCUAGCGUUGUCCGGAAUUAUUGGGCGUAAAGAGCUCGUAGGCGGUUUGUCGCGUCGGGAGUGAAAACUCAGGGCUUAACCCUGAGCCUGCUUCCGAUACGGGCAUCACUGGAGUUCGGCAGGGGAGACUGGAAUUCCUGGUGUAGCGGUGAAAUGCGCAGAUAUCAGGAGGAACACCGGUGGCGAAGGCGGGUCUCUGGGCCGAUACUGACGCUGAGGAGCGAAAGCGUGGGGAGCAAACAGG